rnacentral:rRNA from 1 species
GGGUUGUGAGGUUAAGCGACUAAGCGUACACGGUGGAUGCCCUGGCAGUCAGAGGCGAUGAAGGACGUGCUAAUCUGCGAAAAGCGCCGGCGAGGUGAUAUGAACCUUUGACCCGGCGAUGUCCGAAUGGGGAAACCCAGUGCAAUCCGUUGCACUAUCGUUAACUGAAUACAUAGGUUAACGAGGCGAACCGGGGGAACUGAAACAUCUAAGUACCCCGAGGAAAAGAAAUCAACCGAGAUUCCCCCAGUAGCGGCGAGCGAACGGGGAGCAGCCCGGAGUCUGAAUCAGCUUGUGUGUUAGUGGAACGGUCUGGAAAGUCCGACGGUACAGGGUGAUAGUCCCGUACACGAAAGCACACAUGCUGUGAACUCGAAGAGUAGGGCGGGACACGUGGUAUCCUGUCUGAAUAUGGGGGGACCAUCCUCCAAGGCUAAAUACUCCUGACUGACCGAUAGUGAACCAGUACCGUGAGGGAAAGGCGAAAAGAACCCCGGCGAGGGG